GGAGCGGUUCGGGUGAACGCCGGUCGCUGCAGGACGGGGCGGCGGGAGGAAAGUCCGAGCUCCACAGGGCAGGGUGCUGGCUAACGGCCAGUCGGGGCGACCCGCAGGAAAGUGCCACAGAAAAGAGACCGCCGGCCCGCGAGGGACCGGUAAGGGUGAAACGGUGCGGUAAGAGCGCACCGCGCCCGGCGUGAGUCGGGCGGCACGGCAAACCCCACCUGGAGCAAGAGCCAAUAGGAGCGCGUCCUGUCGCAAGACAGGACAAGGAUGGCCCGUCCGACGCGCUCGGGUCUGCUCGCUGACGAGGCACUGGGUAACCAGGGCCCUAGACGAAUGUUCACCGCCCACUCCGAGAGGGGUGGGGACAGAACUCGGCUUACAGGGCCGCUCCGGCU
rnacentral:RNase_P_RNA from 1 species